AUUGAACGCUGGCGGCAUGCCUUACACAUGCAAGUCGAACGGCAGCAUGAUCUAGCUUGCUAGAUUGAUGGCGAAUGGCGAACGGGUGAGUAAUACAUCGGAACGUGCCCUGUAGUGGGGGAUAACUAGUCGAAAGAUUAGCUAAUACCGCAUACGACCUGAGGGUGAAAGUGGGGGACCGCAAGGCCUCAUGCUAUAGGAGCGGCCGAUGUCUGAUUAGCUAGUUGGUGAGGUAAAGGCUCACCACGGCGACGAUCAGUAUCGGGUCUGAGAGUACGAUCAGCCACACUGGGACUGAGACACGGCCCAGACUCCUACGGGAGGCAGCAGUGGGGAAUUUUGGACAAUGGGGGCAACCCUGAUCCAGCAAUGCCGCGUGUGUGAAGAAGGCCUUCGGGUUGUAAAGCACUUUUGUCCGGAAAGAAAUCGCACUUACUAAUAUUAGGUGUGGAUGACGGUACCGGAAGAAUAAGGACCGGCUAACUACGUGCCAGCCGCCGCAGUAACAC
rnacentral:rRNA from 1 species